CCAAACUUGGUCAUUUAGAGGAAGUAAAAGUCGUAACAAGGUCUCCGUAGGUGAACCUGCGGAGGGAUCAUUAACGAACGGUCGUCAGACCUUCAAACCCUUCAGACCAUGUGGAAACAUAUUGUGCUUCGGCGCUAUGGCGCCGCUUUUAUGCAGAAACAAAGCCUGUGUCUGAGCUGAAAGCGGAAGCAAAAAACUUUCAACAAAGGAUCUCUUGGCUCUCUAGAGGAAGUAAAAGUCGUAACAAGGUCUCCGUAGGUGAACCUGCGGAGGGAUCAUUAACGAACGGUCGUCAGACCUUCAAACCCUUCAGACCAUGUGGAAACAUAUUGUGCUUCGGCGCUAUGGCGCCGCUUUUAUGCAGAAACAAAGCCUGUGUCUGAGCUGAAAGCGGAAGCAAAAAACUUUCAACAAAGGAUCUCUUGGCUCUCGCAUCGAUGAAGAACGCAGC
rnacentral:misc_RNA from 1 species